rnacentral:rRNA from 1 species
AGAGUUUGAUCAUGGCUCAGGAUGAACGCUGGCGGUCUGCUUAACACAUGCAAGUCGAACGGAAUCUUUCGGGAUUUAGUGGCGGACGGGUGAGUAACGCGUGAGAAUCUGCCUUCAGGUUCGGGACAACAGUUGGAAACGGCUGCUAAUACCGGAUGUGCCGAGAGGUGAAAGCUUAAGUGCCUGGAGAUGAGCUCGCGUCUGAUUAGCUAGUAGGAGUGGUAACGGCACCCCUAGGCGACGAUCAGUAGCUGGUCUGAGAGGAUGAUCAGCCACACUGGGACUGAGACACGGCCCAGACUCCUACGGGAGGCAGCAGUGGGGAAUUUUCCGCAAUGGGCGCAAGCCUGACGGAGCAAGACCGCGUGAGGGAAGAAGGUCUGUGGAUUGUAAACCUCUUUUGAUCGGGAAGAAGACAGUGACGGUACCGAUCGAAUCAGCUCGGACUCCCCC